rnacentral:lncRNA from 1 species
GGAGUCAUUGAAUUCAUCUUUGUUCAUAUUUGGAAAAUUUCAUGAUAAAAAUUUAAGGAUGAAGGAACUCAGGGGUUCUUGAUUAUUUUAAUUUGUUUUGAUUUUACCUGCACUAUUAGGGUGAGAUUGAAAGGCAAGGGCAGGUUCCUCUUAGCUUUUCAGCAGGAAAAGGUAAGAGAGGGAAUUGAGAAUAAUUCCAUAAAUUCAGAGAAAUUAAUAGAAAGGCAUUGGACUCAAAGUUCUUUGGUCAUUUUUUAAAAAGAGAAAAAGCUAUUCUAAUUCUUUCCUCAGAGCCACUGUAAGUUCUAAGAGGACAAAAUUCUUGCUAACUAAAUAUUCAGUUGAUACUUACUCUAGGCAAUGAAUUAAUUUCACAUCAAAAUAAAUGUGUACUUUGAUGUGCUGUGCUGGACUUAACGUUUUAUUGUUAAGAACUUACUGUGGUGAUACACUGCUUCAGAACCUUAUUUUAUAAUCUUGUUAGAUUUAGUUGUCUUAAAAAUCUACUACUCUGUGGAGUUCCUGUGGUGUCGAAGUAGUUAGCGAAUCCAACUAGGAACCAUGAGGUUGCGGGUUCAGUCCCUGCCCUUGCUCAGUGGGUUAAAAGAUCCUGCAUUGCCCUGAGCUGUGGUGUGGGCCGCAGACGCGGCUCGGAUCCCGCAUUGCUGUGGCUCUGAGGUAGGCCAGUGGCUACAGCUCCAAUUAGACCCCUGGCCUGGGAACCUCCAUAUGCCGCGGGAGCCGCCCAAGAAAUGUAAAAAGACCAAAAAAAAACUACUACUGUGUACACACACACAAAAAUUUAAUGCUGAAUCUAGUCUUGAUCAGGCGAUCAAACAAAGGCCUUUUGUUUCCCUUCCCAUCCCAUUCCACCCACCUAGGGAGAGCAAAGCAGUGUAGCGUUUUGAGAGGCUCUGCCUUCAAACUCUUUAAGGUUCAAAUCCCACAUCCAUCACUGUUAACUGCUCUGUCACACUGGAAAGUUAUUCAACAUGUCUCAGUUUCCCUACCUAUAAUGUGGGGACGAUAAAAAAUAUUUUGAGGAUUAAAUCUGUUAUCAGACGGCAAACUCUUAGAACAGUAACAGAAGUUCUCCUUUUAGCAUAUACUACAAUUUUAAUCCACUUGUUUGCCAAGCUUGCGUCUGUCACCUAGGGAAGGUUUACAGUGCUUCCCUUCCCGCUAACCACCUCCCCACCCCUCCCUCCCUCCCUCCCCUCUACUUAGUGAACAAUUGUCUACUUAGUGAACAAGGUGAAUGAAUGAGGAAAGGAGGCUGGUCCUCCCAGGUGUGGCCAGGCCCUUGGGAGAAGCUUGUCCGAGAAGACGCCGUCCUGGCCUCUCUUUUAAGCUUACAGUUUAGCAGGACAGGUUCUAAACACCCUAGCGUAGGGUAGUAGGAAAGGGAAUCUCUGGGUCCUGGUCCCGCCCUGGGAUAAAGGCUAGAGUCCCCCAAGGAGAAUCCUGAGGAAGGCACGUUGGCCUGAGAGAACCAGACCCCCCGGCGCAAAGGCCUGGGGAAGCGCCAAAGACUCCUAGAGCUGCCUAGGCAGCUCCUCUAGGUUUGGCUCUUCCUCCCACAAACCAAAGACCCACAAGAGCCGGGACCAAGGGCACCAAUGAACUGGUCCGCACCGCCCCUCUCUGGAUUCUUCCUGGGGAUUGGCUGCUGGCACCGCCGCUCCCUCCCACCCCACCCCGCCCCCCCCCCCCGCCCCCCUCCCCCCCCCCCCCGCCCCGCCCCCAGGCCCUCCUCCCGCCCCGCCCCGUCCCGCCUGCAGGAUCUCCCCACCGCGCGCUAGUCCUCGGCCUCAGUCUUGCUGAAUUGAGUGGUAAGUGUGGGUCGCCGAGGCUGGGAGGGCACCGGCCCUGUCCGCGGGCCUGGGUGCGGGUGGGCUCGCGCUUCGUCCCCUCGAGCUUUGCCCGUCCGGAGCGUCCCUGCUCCCGGCGGCCAGAACGCAGGGGUAGAGCAGCCCUCGGCGUCCCGGGAGGGGCGGGCGGCGGUGCCCGUCCCGGGGCCGCGCGAGGCACACACGCCGCGUGGAGCUGCCUGGAGGCCGCCUGGCUGGCAGGCCUAAACGCGGUAACAAGUUUGCUCUUUGCUUCCCCAGGGCGCAGCCGCGGCUACUUUGUAGCGGUUCGGGCCCGGCCCAGCCCGCGGCAGUGAAACCCGGUCUCGGACCGACCAUGAGCCUAAAGAGCCUGUGUCCGUUGUCCCCGGGUACAGAGGCCUGAGUUCUAAGCGCAGGUUGAAAAGUACAGGUAGAAGCCACUGAAGCUGUAAAGCUCUGAUGCUGGUAUUUUAACUGACUUACACCAACUAUCACUCUGCAGUUUACAAUACACAAGAACCUUUAAUGAGGUCACAGUUCUCACGUAACUUGUAGCAACCUGGUGUCUGUGCAGUGGCUUAGAAGUUAGAGCAGUGGGAUCCUGCUGGUGGUUUAAUUCUCACAAGUCUGUGAAGAGGGUACUGUUUCUCUUUUUGCAUUUGAGGCAGUCACUUAAGGUUCCACCACAUAUGCCCAGGAAGCCUUGCAGCUACUUUUUUCCCUGUGUAACUGUUAGAAAGUCACUUAUCCUUCUUGAGACUUAGUGUCCUGGUAUAACAGGAGAAGUAUUUAAACAUGGGUUAGGUCACUUUGGUGGGGAAAGACCACAGAGCUACUGAGAAUAUAAACUCUUCAUAGUAUAUACUUGAACCUCUAAGAAAUUAAAAUUUAGCACAAAGGGAACAUAACCUCAGCAUGCUAAACGUUUUUGAUGAAUGUAGCAUGAUGAGCUGUAAAAAAGGAAUUUAAAGGACCCAAUGAUGCUAGAUUAUUAAAAUAUGAGUAUUGGGGUGAUGGGGGAGGUUUUCCUAUGGGAAGAAAUGUGUCGCAAGAUGAACAGAACCCAGUUCCUGUCGAUCAGCUCUGGAUGUCUACAAUACCUCAUUUUCCAGAAUCUUAAAUAAAGGUAUUUAUUUCA